AGGACUGGGCUGGGUUUGGGAAUUAACUUGAAAUGUUAAUUCUGUAAAUAUCUGAAGUGGUCUGAGCUUUUAUGCAAGGACAGGUCUUUUUACUACGCAACUUGGUCUCUGAGGAUUAACGCUGGCUUCUGCUCAGCACCAGAAGUCCAUUUCUGGGGUUCACCAUCUGCAGCUUAGACCCCAGAAGGGAGCCGCUGGCCAAACUGGCCUUAGAACAAGGAAACCAGCUGACGAUGAGUUGAAAGCCCUGGAACUGUGAGCUGAAAUAAAAAUGUCCACCUUUUAAGAAGUUUGUCUCAGUGGAACCUGAGCCUCUUUUCCUUGAAGAGGAUUUGAAGAAAUGGGGAAGCCAUCUCAUGAACUGUAUGAACAAAGGUAGAAACUUAUGGAUGACCCAGGUCAGCUUGGGAAACAGUAAAUGAGAAAACUUAUGGAUGAUCAACAGUGUUUUCCAUUUUUCAGAUUACUUACUCAGAUUGUAUCCUGAGCAAGAACAAUUUCCUGUGGUUUAUAAAUAGGCCCUGGCUAUUUUAGUAAACUGCUGUGUUGAUGACCCUUCGUGCAAUGUUCCAUGGAGACUUCAGGUUUCCAGGAGGCAGAAGAAAAUGUGUAAAUAUAUGAGAAAUGAUCCAGAACAUGAAGCCCCACCAAUAAAAGCCAUUGCAAAGUUUGUGAGGAAGGUCUGUCAUAACCAGGUACUCAUCGUCCCCACCCUUCCUACUUCCUCCUGGUUACUUUGUGGAAUACCCAAGGCCUUGGGACAGAAUAGACUAGAAGUAGGGAUAAGUACAAGAGCUGAGCUCAUUUGCCUGAACUCACAGAGAGAGUGGUGCCAGGAUUACAAUUCAGCUUUCAAAGUUCUUUCAAUCCAUGCUCAAACACAGAAUUUCUAUCUACAUCCAUAACUUAAGAAACCAACAGAACUGCAAAGAACUGAAAUUCCCACAUUUUCUAGGAUGGGAGCCUUUUUGCUAUGGCUGAGGAUCCCUAUUGCCUACACUUGAGGAACAUUCCAAACCAUUUAUACACAUUAGCUGGUGUAGUACAGAAAGGAGAUAUUUCUCUCCGUAGUUAAGGGGUCAAGUUAAAAUAGAUCUGUGUUUUGUUUGCAAUUGGCACUAGGCUCAGUUUUUCUGAACUCUUGUGUCUUCCAGUCCAUUCACCAACAUUUGAGUGGCUACGUAUUGUUCAUUAUGGCCUCAGAAAGAUUUUAAAUGAAUAAGCAUAUUUUAUUUGUAUGUUUCUUUUGGGUUCCUGCUAAUGUAGAUGUAAAGCAAAAAGGAACUGAUGAUAUCAUACCUCCCAAUCUUUUGUUUGUUUGUUUGUUUUUUGUUUGUUUUUUCGAGACAGGGUUUCUCUGUGUAGCUUUGUGCCUGCCGAGUGCUGGGAUUAAAGGUAUGUGCCACCACCGCCCGGCUAUACCUCCCAAUCUUUUUUUUUUUAAUUUUUUUUUUAUUUUGCAAUACA